UGUGAAAAUGAUGAUUAAGGGGAUCUGAAUUUAUUUGAUGCAAAGAUGCCAUCCAUUUCCUGAUUCACA